CAAAGAAGGUAAUAAUCCUGUAGUCGAAAAUGUUGUCUCUCUUGAGUGGAUCCUGAGUACGACGGAGCACGUGAAAUUCCGUCGGAAUCUGGGAGGACCAUCUCCUAAGGCUAAAUACUCUCUAGUGACCGAUAGUGAACCAGUACCGUGAGGGAAAGGUGAAAAGCACCCCGGAAGGGGAGUGAAAUAGAACCUGAAACCGUGUGCUUACAAGUAGUCAGAGCCCGUUAAUGGGUGAUGGCGUGCCUUUUGUAGAAUGAACCGGCGAGUUACGAUUUGAUGCAAGGUUAAGCAGUAAAUGUGGAGCCGUAGCGAAAGCGAGUCUGAAUAGGGCGUUUAGUAUUUGGUCGUAGACCCGAAACCAGGUGAUCUACCCUUGGUCAGGUUGAAGUUCAGGUAACACUGAAUGGAGGACCGAACCGACUUACGUUGAAAAGUGAGCGGAUGAACUGAGGGUAGCGGAGAAAUUCCAAUCGAACCUGGAGAUAGCUGGUUCUCUCCGAAAUAGCUUUAGGGCUAGCCUCAAGUGAUGAUUAUUGGAGGUAGAGCACUGUUUGGACGAGGGGCCCCUCUCGGGUUACCGAAUUCAGACAAACUCCGAAUGCCAAUUAAUUUAACUUGGGAGUCAGAACAUGGGUGAUAAGGUCCGUGUUCGAAAGGGAAACAGCCCAGACCACCAGCUAAGGUCCCAAAAUAUAUGUUAAGUGGAAAAGGAUGUGGCGUUGCCCAGACAACUAGGAUGUUGGCUUAGAAGCAGCCAUCAUUUAAAGAGUGCGUAAUAGCUCACUAGUCGAGUGACACUGCGCCGAAAAUGUACCGGGGCUAAACAUAUUACCGAAGCUGUGGAUUGUCCUUUGGACAAUGGUAGGAGAGCGUUCUAAGGGCGUUGAAGCAUGAUCGUAAGGACAUGUGGAGCGCUUAGAAGUGAGAAUGCCGGUGUGAGUAGCGAAAGACGGGUGAGAAUCCCGUCCACCGAUUGACUAAGGUUUCCAGAGGAAGGCUCGUCCGCUCUGGGUUAGUCGGGUCCUAAG
rnacentral:rRNA from 1 species